rnacentral:rRNA from 1 species
UUGCUCCCAUUUCUCAGCGGCGGACGGGUGAGUAACACGUGGGCAACCUGCCCUGCAGACUGGGAUAACUCCGGGAAACCGGAGCUAAUACCGGGUAAUACAUAGCAUCGCAUGAUGCAACGUUGAAAGUUGGCUUUCGAGCUAACACUGUAGGAUGGGCCCGCGGCGCAUUAGCUAGUUGGUAAGGUAACGGCUUACCAAGGCCACGAUGCGUAGCCAACCUGAGAGGGUGAUCGGCCACACUGGGACUGAGACACGGCCCAAACUCCUACGGGAGGCAGCAGUAGGGAAUCUUCCGCAAUGGACGAAAGUCUGACGGAGCAACGCCCCGUGAGUGACGAAGGCCUUCGGGUCGUAAAGCUCUGUUGUUAGGGAAGAACAAGUACCGUUCGAAUAGGGCGGUACCUUGACGGUACCUAACCAGAAAGCCACGGCUAACUACGUGCCAGCAGCCGCGGUAAUACGUAGGUGGCAAGCGUUGUCCGGAAUUAUUGGGCGUAAAGCGCGCGCAGGCGGUCUCUUAAGUCUGAUGUGAAAGCCCACGGCUCAACCGUGGAGGGCCAUUGGAAACUGGGGGACUUGAGUGCAAAAAAGGAAAGUGGAAUUCCACGUGUAGCGGUGAAAUGCGUAAAUAUGUGGAGGAACACCAGUGGCGAAGGCGGCUCUCUGGUCUGUAACUGACGCUGAGGCGCGAAAGCGUGGGGAGCGAACAGGAUUAGAUACCCUGGUAGUCCACGCCGUAAACGAUGAGUGCUAGGUGUUGGGGGGGUUCCACCCUCAGUGCUGAAGUUAACACAUUAAGCACUCCGCCCGGGGGAGUACGACCGCAAGGUUGAAACUCAAAGGAAUUGACGGGGGCCC